rnacentral:rRNA from 1 species
GACGAACGCUGGCGGCGUGCUUAACACAUGCAAGUCGAACGGAAAGGCCCUGCUUUUGUGGGGUGCUCGAGUGGCGAACGGGUGAGUAACACGUGAGUAACCUGCCCUUGACUUUGGGAUAACUUCAGGAAACUGGGGCUAAUACCGGAUAGGAGCUCCUGCUGCAUGGUGGGGGUUGGAAAGUUUCGGCGGUUGGGGAUGGACUCGCGGCUUAUCAGCUUGUUGGUGGGGUAGUGGCUUACCAAGGCUUUGACGGGUAGCCGGCCUGAGAGGGCGACCGGCCACAUUGGGACUGAGAUACGGCCCAGACUCCUACGGGAGGCAGCAGUGGGGAAUAUUGCACAAUGGGCGGAAGCCUGAUGCAGCAACGCCGCGUGCGGGAUGACGUCCUUCGGGUUGUAAACCGCUUUCGCCUGUGACGAAGCGUGAGUGACGGUAAUGGGUAAAGAAGCACCGGCUAACUACGUG